GUGUUGUAUGAAAGUACUCCCCUUGACAGGGUGAAAGAGAUACUUAAGCUUCCAAAACAUAUACAUGGUUAGGACAUUGCCACCUAUUUCGUGGCAUCUAACCAUGUUUGUUU
rnacentral:ncRNA from 1 species